GCCUUGGCGCAGUCUGUCAGUCGUGAGUAGACAGCGUCGCGGGAAGGAGGAAGUGGUCCGUGGGGUAGUUGUGUGCGGCAGGUUGGCCGCUCCGAAGUGAGUGUGUGCCACACUGUUUCCAUUGCGACGAGCUGAAGCUUACAAGAUAUGGAGACGAAACUGGCCAUGAUGUAUAUACUGAUGGCCACCCUGCUGCCAGGCUUAAUUCGAA